rnacentral:rRNA from 1 species
GAUGAACGCUGGCGGCGUGCCUAAUACAUGCAAGUCGAGCGAACAGAUGAGGAGCUUGCUCCUCUGACGUUAGCGGCGGACGGGUGAGUAACACGUGGAUAACCUACCUAUAAGACUGGGAUAACUUCGGGAAACCGGAGCUAAUACCGGAUAAUAUAUUGAACCGCAUGGUUCAAUAGUGAGAGACGGUUUUGCUGUCACUUAUAGAUGGAUCCGCGCCGCAUUAGCUAGUUGGUAAGGUAACGGCUUACCAAGGCAACGAUGCGUAGCCGACCUGAGAGGGUGAUCGGCCACACUGGAACUGAGACACGGUCCAGACUCCUACGGGAGGCAGCAGUAGGGAAUCUUCCGCAAUGGGCGAAGGCCUGACGGAGCAACGCCGCGUGAGUGAUGAAGGUCUUCGGAUCGUAAAACUCUGUUAUUAGGGAAGAACAAAUGUGUAAGUAACUAUGCACGUCUUGACGGUACCUAAUCAGAAAGCCACGGCUAACUACGUG